rnacentral:lncRNA from 1 species
ACAGCUCAACCUCCAGAAACGAGACCACAACUUGUCUGUAAAAAGCUUUUACAAAAAAUUAUUCAUAACACUAUUAACACAGCAGUAUUUUUUUUGUGUGUCGCUUCGAGG